rnacentral:rRNA from 1 species
CCAGCAGCCGCGGUAAUUCCAGCUCCAAUAGCGUAUAUUAAAGUUGUUGCGGUUAAAACGUUCGUAGUUGAAUUUGUGUCCCACACGGGUAAUGCACCCAAGUGCGGGUUUUGCAUUACUUGUUGCUCUGUGCGUUUUGUGUAAAAGCAAACGUAUAGUGUGACUUUAAGUGUGACGGAUGUUUUACCGGUGAGGGAAACGACUAAUUAUGUCCCUAUAUUGGCUUUCGGGUUAUAUAUAGGUCAAGCAUAUUAAUACGCCUCUUAUGUUAAAAGACCCAUUUUAGUGCUCUUUACCGAGUGCUAUUGUGGGCCGGUACAAUUACUUUGAACAAAUUAGAGUGCUUAAAGCAGGCUAAAUUUAAUGAAAAUUAAAACGCCUGAAUAUAUUUUGCAUGGAAUAUGAAAUAUGACCUCUGGUCUAUUUGAUUGGUUUUUAGAUGCCAAGAGGUAAUGAUUAAUAGAAGCAGUUGGGGGCAUUAGUAUUACGAGGCGAGAGGUGAAAUUCGUAGACCCUCGUAAGACUGACUUAAGCGAAAGCAUUUGCCAAGGAUGUUUUCAUUAAUCAAGAACGAAAGUUAGAGGAUCGAAGGCGAUCAGAUACCGCCCUAGUUCUAACCAUAAACGAUGCCAGCUAGCAAUUGAAUGUAGCUACUUAUUUCAGGCUCAUUCAGUCGCUUUCCGGGAAACCAAAGCUUUUGGGCUCCGGGGGAAGUAUGGAUGCAAAGCUGAAACUUAAAGGAAUUGACGGAAGGGCACCACCAGGAGUGGAGCCUGCGGGUUAAUUUGACUCAACACGGGAAAACUUACCAGGUCCGAACAUAAAUGAGUAAGACAGA